CUGUCAUGGAGUUGCUCUCUUUA
rnacentral:miRNA from 12 species